rnacentral:lncRNA from 1 species
CCCUCUCCAAAUCCUCUCGCCAGACCAAUCUUGUCGCCGCUCCUCGUCUCUUCUCCGAGCAUGUAUGGCUUCUUUCUGGUCAAUGUUAUUCUAUGAAUUUAAUCAAGAAAAAAAAGUGAUGUUAUGAUCGUGACUCAUUUUUGGAUUGAGGAGAAGCAGGAGGCUUGGCAUGGGAUGAGGAGGGUGCCGGCGGCAGGGUAUGAUCCAUGCACCGAGGACUACGUAGAGAAAUAUUUUAACCGAGAGAACGUCCAGAAAGCGCUGCACGCCAAUCUCACCCACCUCUCUUACCCAUACACUUCCUGCAGGCAUGGCUUUCUUCUCUUUCUACUUUAAAUUUGAUUAUUAAGUUAUCAUAUAUCACAUUAAUGGGAUAUCUACGGUUGAUAUCUGCUCAGUAAUGUUAAUCGGAAGGUUCAUUGAUUGCACCGCUGCCUGAGCGGUGCAUUCAAUCCGCUUUGUUUUGUGACCCUACCUCUGCUUCAUGAUGUCCUUUUGGAACAAAAAUCCUCAAGUGCACAUCCCAGGGGAGAUCCAACCAAGCGGUCUUCUUUAGUUGCUACUUAUCUUAUUAUAUUUAUUUUAAAAUAAAAAUAAAAAUUUAAAGUGAAAUGAUGUUGCAAGAUUAUUUGUUAAUUAACAUGAAAUCCAAAAUAAUAAUAAAUAAUUAUAGAUAAAAAAAAAAAGAACACAAUGAUUUAUAUGGUUUGGUGUUUAGUCUAUAUCUAUAGAUGAAAAUGGAGAGAGAUUUUACUAUAUCAAAAAAAAGAUGAAGUAUAAAGAAUAUGCAGCGACUCAAAUAACAAAAGACUCCCUUCAUUUUAACAAAGACAUGAUUAUAAUAUAAUAAAAUCAUUAAAUUUUAAAAUAAAAAGAAAAGAUCAAAACAUCUAAACGAGCCAAUUAAAGUCCAAAAUGGAUUAGAUUCCUAUCAUGGGUCUCACUGAAUUCGAGUCAUACUCAACAAAUCUCUAUCUUGGCUUAAAUUUCAUCAAGCUGCGAAACAAAAUAGUGAACUCCUUCCAUCUCCUUCAAUAUUACCUCUAAGGCCCUACCUCAACAUCUUAAAAUACAAACCAAAUCCAAGUAGUGCUUGAACUUGAGAAUGGUAAGUGGUUUGAUCAUUAUAUCAGUUAGAUUAUCUACCAUAAAAUCUUCUUUAGUGUAAUAAUCCCUUAUGAUACAGAAUUCCAUAUGAAGUAGUAUAUAUCUGACAUCUUUGUGCUUUGUCCUUUCAUGAUACAUCUGAUUUUUAGUCAGAUAUAUGUACUCUAGUAAUCAAAAUAAACAGUAGCCAUAUUCUAUUGUAAGUCAAGUGGCACAUCCCAAAUCCAACACCCAGAUCGGCUAUAUGAGAGCAACACACUCCCUAAAAUAAAAUUCUAAAGAAUAUGCAAGGUCUUUACAAUCUCAAAAUACUAUAAACACUAUUGAUCUCAAUCCAUAAUAAAUAUUUCAUAUUAAUAAAUAUUAAAUCUUGUAUUAUUUAUAAACUCGAUCAUCCAACUGAUAUUGAUGAUGCUCUAUAUAAUCAAUCCUUUCAAAUCAUAAUCUUAAGCUUGGUCAAGUACAAGUAUCCUAUAACUUCAAGAAAGAAAAGAGGAUUAUGGGUUCUGAGUCCAGUAAAUGUCUCCACACAUCCACACCAUUAUAAAAAUAUAAUUUAAAAAUAAUAACAAAUAAUAUUAGAGUGAAAAUAUAAAAUAUAAAAUUUCAUAUCAAAUAUCCAUAAUAACUCAAAUAUCUAUAUAAAUAUAUAUCAAAUAUCUAUCUUGUCAAAAGAUAUAUGUCACCAUAUGCUAACAAGUAAAAUAUUUUAUUCAGCAUUAGUUUCAUAUGUCUUAUCAUCUAUUUUUCUUAUCAUAAUUUUAGAUUUUUUAAUCUUUUUCUUUUCAGCUUUGAGCUAACCAAAAUCAUGUUUCAGUCCAUGACUGAUCAAAUUUUCACGCAUAAACCUAUGGUGCCUAUCCCCAUCAUAAGCUCUUGGAGGCUAUCUCAUGCAUAAAUCCGUAGAGGCUGUCUCAGAUAUAAGCUCCUGACCAGCUAUCCUAUACAUAAGUCUGUGGAAGCUGUCCCAAGCAUAAGCUCCUAAUCGGCUAUCUCAGACAUAAGCUCCUAAAGGCUAUCCCAUGUGUAAGCUCGUAGAGAUUGUUUCACACAAGCUCUUGGCUGGCUAUCCACACGAUAAGAUUAGUCCAAACCAUAUUAUUUCUAUUCAAUUAUUACAUAUAUUGAUUUUAUCAAAUUAAUUUUAAUUUAUAAUAUGAUCAAAAUAAGCAUAAUAUAACCAUAUAAUCUUAUCAUCAAUCAUGUAUACAUAUAUAUAGUCAACACAUAAUGUACCCAAGUCGAAAAAUCGUAUAGGAACAAUAGUAUCUUAAUCAAGAUAAAUUAAUUAAUAAAAAUCUUGUGAUACAAAACCAAUAAUAUAAAUCCAAUGAUACAAAUAGUAUACAUAAUGGUGAUCAUGUACCGAGAUUUUUAAUUAUGUUGAUGACAAACUUAAGAAUAGAAUUUAUCAAUCAAUGACUUACAUAUCCAAUCAACGACAUCAUACCAGCACAUCCUUGAUCAACCACUUGAAUUAAUGUAAAUCCUAAAUUUCUCAACCCUACCUAAUAUAUGACUAAUUAAUAAAUAAAUAUUUGGAGAUUUAUCUUGAUGUAGGAAUUACAGCUUACAUCUUCUUUCUCCACAUCUUCUCGUUCGAUUGAUCACAUCCAUAUAUAAUCAAAGUUAAUAAUCAGAAGAAAUCAUAAAGUGAUCAUGGUCAUAGUGAAAAAUUAUGAAAGAAAAAGAAUACAACUAUCUAGAUAAUAAUACCUGGCAAUUCGAGUAGAUCAGAUCUAAAAGAAUCAACUAAUGGAUCAUAAAGCAAGAAUUUAACAGUUCAAAACAAACAUUGUUAAUGAUGGAUAUUCUAUGAAAAUCAAGAUGGAAGUUAAGAUCGAAAAAAUUAUCAUGAUUUAGUCUAGGACCAUCCAUCAGGGUUUAGACUCAAGUACAGUAAUCGAUAGGACUGGCAAAAUAUGAUCCGAUCUGUCAAUCCGACCCAUGUUCGAUUCGCCAUAAACAGGUUUGAAUUUAGACUAAACGGAUUUGGAUCAUAAAUGGAUCGAUUCGUUUAACCCGUUUAAUAAUUAGGUUAGAUUUAGAUUUCAGAUAUCUGAUCUGUUUAACCUAUUUAAUAUUUAGAUCGGAUUGAGUCAGAUAAUCUAUUUAACCUGUUUAAUUUGUUUAACCUAUUUUUGAUCCAUUUAAACUGACCUGUUUAAUUUGUUUAAUCCAUUUAAAAUCUGUUUAGCCUAUUUAAACUGUUUAACCUGUUUCUGAUCCAUUUAACCUAACCUAUUUAAUCCGUUAAACCUAAUUUGACCUAUUUAAUAAAUAAAUUAAAUAGAUCGGAUCGGAUUAUCUAUUUAAUAAAUAGGUCAAAUUUAAGUUUGAAGUUUUGAUCUGUUUAAUAAAUAGAUCGGAUUUAGGUUGACGAUUUUCUGACCUCACCUGCAUUGAUCCGAUCCAUUUAUGAUCCGAUUUGAUCUGAUUGCCAUCUCUAGUAAUCGAUCAACUCCUCAAUCCAUAAACUCAAGGAUAACAUAUUCCGCUCAAUAUCUUGUGCAAAAAAUUGCACAUCUACAUAAUCAAGGUCAAUCAUAGAUGAACAUAAAUGAUGAAAAUUAUGAAAAACUUAAACAUUAUAGGUCCAAGACCCCUCCUAGGGUCAACCAAUUGAUCCAUAUUUACCUAAAUAUUUGGACCCUCCAUCGGUCCAUAAAGCCUCUAGAAAGAGAAAUCCAAGAAAAGAGAGAGCGAGAUUCUAGAGAGAGAAAUUGGAUAGAGAAACUAUAGAGAGAGAAAAAAGAGAAGAAAUUAUUUUUUGAAUACCUCAACUCAUCUAGAGAAAAACAAGAGAGAAAAUCAAAGAGAAGAGAGAUUAGCUCUCCCUUCGUUCUUCUUCAUCUUUAAAAUAGGGCAUCAGAAGCCCCUUUUCCCUCUCCUCUUCAUCCUAUCAUGGCCAUGGAACCCAUACUGAUGGCCAAUGGUAACAUCCAGCAUCGACUAAAUCUUGACCCCGAUAGUGGUCACAGUCACUGAUGAUCAACAAAACAAAGAAAGAAAGUUGAAAUAGGGCACCCCCAAUUCGACAUGAAUUUCUGACAUCUCACUGGCUCUAAUGAGGGUGGAAUGAUGGCCUUAGGGAUCAAAGAAAAGAGAAGAAAAAUGACUUAGGUCCUCACCUAAGUCCAAUGAGACAUCAAUCAGAUCAAUGGAGAAAAUCAAAGACAAUCUCAUCCAAAAAAACUUGAAAUCCAUGAUGAUCUUCUUAAAAUUUUUUUUUUCGAUGAUCAAUUGAAGUUGAGCAGUGACUCACAUGGGGAGGGGAGGGAUGAUAGACAGGAUCUAAAGCUUCAGCGAACUCUAGAGUCCCAAUCUUGAUUGAAUUCCAAAGAAGGAAGACGAACUCCAUCACGAGUUCUCUUCAACCUCACAAGCCUAGCACAUGAGGUUUUGAAUUUUUUUUUGUUCAUUCAGCUUUGAGAUUUCAUGAAAAAAAAUAGAUCCUUACACCAAGAUCACAAACCAAACUUUGCAACCAAAUAGCCUCCUUUACUACUUCUAUUGCUAUCAUAUACUCUACCCCUAUAGUAGACAAAGCAAAAGUAAACUGUAAAGUCACUUUCCAAUCGAUAAUACAAUCUGAAAAAAUGAAGAUAUAGUUUGUCAGAAACCUCCUCUUAUUUAAAUCAGAUGCAUAAUCAGAGUCCAUAUAACCAAUAAUACUUCUGCAAGUAUCUGAACACCGAUCAUAUACAAAACCGAUAUCCAUAGUGCCUCUCAAAUAGCAUAAAAUUUAUUUCAUUACCUACUAAUGAACAUUUUCUGGAUGCCCCAUAUAGCUGUUAACAAUACUGAUAGCUUGUGAGAUAUUUGGAUAUAUACAAACUAUAGUAUACAUGGUACUCCCAACUAUACUAACAUAUAGAACAUAUGACAUGUAUUCAUCUUCUUCAUCUGGCUAUAGAGUAAAGCAACUGAAAGUCUGAAGUAUACUACAAGUGGAGUACUCAUUGGUUUACAAUCUUAUAUACCAAAAUAUUGAAGCACUUUCAUAAUAUAAUUUUUUAUGACAAGAAUAAUCUGCCUGUAUAUUGAUCCUUGUGAAUCUUCAUGUUCAAAAUCUUUUUUGUUGCACCUAAGUCCUUCAUCUCAGAUUCACUACAAAGCUGAACUUUUAACUUCUUAAUCUCAGAUAUAUUCUUUGAUGUAAUGAGCAUGUCAUCAAUAUAAAGUAACAAAUAAAUAAAAAAAAUAUUUGAAAGCCUCUUGUGAUAAACACAACUAUCAUAAUCACAUCCAGAGUAACCAUACCCAAGCAUAAUUAAAUGCAUCAAACUCUUAUACCACUAUCUUAAAGAUUGCUUCAAACUAUACAAUAAUUUUCUCUACAAGCAAACAUGGUUCUUCUUAUCCUAAACAACAAAUUCUUUUGAUUAUUAUAUAUAAAUAUACUCCUCAAACUCACCAUACAAGAAAGCUGUCUUGACAUCAAGCUGCUCAAGCUCUAAGUCAAAUAAGACAACAAUGAUUAGCAACACACAAUAGAUAGAUCUAUAUUUCAUAACAGAAGAGAAAAUUUAAUUAAAGUCCAUACUUUCCUUUUGACUAUAGCCCUUUGUAACCAAGCAUAUUUUGAAUCUUGCUACUUCAACCUCUAUGAUUCUUUUUUUGUUUUGAAGACCCAUUGCACCCAACAAUCUUCCAGCCCUACAGUGGUUUCACGAGCUCUCAUGUCUGAUUAUUAUGAAGAGACUCAAUAUUGUCACUCAUAGUAACAGACCACUAUGUAGACUCACUAUUAGUGAUGGCCUCAUGAUAAUUGACAGGAUCUUGAACCUCAAUAGACUCUGCUACAGAUAAUACAAAAGAGACCAAAUCUAUAAAUCUAUAUCUCUAAGAGGGUCUAAUCUACCUCCUCAAUCUACUAGUGGCCAUGGUGUACUACUGCUCUUAUGGGACAUCUUUUGAUCAUCAACAAUCUCAAGCUCAUCAUCUUGAACUAACCAAACUAAAGUAUCAUCCUAUGAUGGAUGAACUGAAGGUCUAAUCUCAAGUUCUACCUGCUCAUCAACAUCAUGAUCUUUAUCUAUAGCAACUGACUUCUUUUUCGAAUGAAGCAUAACCUUUUCAUCAAAGAUAAUAUCUCUACUGACUAUGAAUUCAUGAGAAUUAGGCUCAACACACCACAAUCUAUAGCUUUUCACCCUCGGCUGAUAAUCUAAGAAGAUAUAUUUCUAUACCCUUUUUCCAAGUUUACCAUCAUUGACAUGUAUAUAAAUAGGAUAACUAAAUAGCUUUAAAAUAAAAUAAUCAGUAGAUAAAUCAGACCAUACCUCAAUAAGAGUCUUCAACUCAAUACCAAUGGAUAGAGAUCUGUUCAUCAAGUAGCAAACGAUAUUAACAGCAGCCUAAAAAUCCUGAGAUAAAUUUGAUUAAGAAAGUAUAUACCAUGCUCGCUCCAAAAGAAUGCUAUUCAUGCACUUUGUAACACCAUUCUAUGUGGUGUCUUCCUAACUUUGUGAUGUCUUAUAAUGACUUCUACCUUAUAGAAUUUAUUACACUAACACUCACAAAACUUCAUGUCAUUAUCAGUUCUUAAUCUCUUAAUCUUCUUACUGGAUUAUUUUUUAAUAAAUACUUUUUACUUCUUAAAAGUAAGAAAAAUUUCAUUCCUGUACUUCAGAAAGUGUAUCCAAACUCUUGUCGAAAAAUUAUUAAUAAAAAUCAACAAACAUCGAGAACCACCUUUGUACUGAAUAGGUGCAGGAUACCAAAGAUCGAAAUGGAUAUAAUCCCAUGGGUAGCUAUGUUGAACUUGACUUUAGACUGUUUCUUAUAGACAUAAUGCUCACAAAAGUCAAGCUUUCCAAUUUUUUGACUACACAAUAGAUCCUGUUUGCUGAAAAUAAACAUGCUAGCUUCACUCAUAUGAUCCAAAUGCAUAUGCUAUAAAUAAAUACUAUCUGAAUAUGGAUUUGAUGAAGAAAUUGAUACAGCACUAACCACUAUGCUAUCCUGAAGUAAGUAAAGGCUAUGAAAUAAUCUACCUUUAAGCAUAAUAAAAGCACCUUUUUGAAAUCUUUAAAACUCCAUCUUCAUCAAAGUACUUAAAACUAUGUGAAUCAAGAGUACUCAAAGAAAUCAAAUUCUUCCUUAAAUUUAGUAUGUGCCACACAUUAGACAAGGUCCAAAUGAUAUCAUUAUGCAUCUUGACCUGAAUGGUUCCUAUACCAACAACUUUACAGGACAUAUUAUUCUCCAUAAGGAUAACACCAUCAUCAAUAGGAUGAUAAGCAAAAAAUCAAUCCUGCUAAGGAUAUAUAUGAUAAAAAUAUGCUGAAUCAAGAAUUCAAAUACAUCAGAUAAAUUAACAAAUAUUGAGAGGACAUCGGCACCAUCAGUUUAUCCUCUGCUACACUGGUCGAAUCACCAGUAUUAGAGAUAUUGUUGGACUUUCACUUUUUUUUUUGAGUUUGGAACAAUUAGAUUUUUAGUGUCCUUUCCUUUUACAGUAAUUGCAUUUGCUUUUUUUUUUUCUUCUUGGAUUUUAAUCUACCUCUAUUACUUUCUGAAUAUGAACCCAAAUUCUUUUUUUUUAUCUACUCUAACAACCAGACCAUCCAUUUGAUUUUUAUCUCAAGUUUCAAACAUCUUUUCUUUUAACUCCCUCGAGUUCAAUAGAGCCUUCACGUCUUCCAUAGAAAGAAUAUACGAGGAAGGUAAUGAAGACAAUAAAAUAAGGAUUUGAUCCUCAUCAUCAAUUUUUACAUCGAUCCAAAAUAAUUUUAUUGAAUUUAUUAAGGUAGUUUUUAAGAGGCAUACCUUCAUCCGAAGAGUGUAGAGGCGUUGUUUCAAAUAAAAUUGAUUUAUUAGAGAUUUAAUCAUAUAGAUGCUCUCCAAUCUAAGCUACAACUCUAUAGUAGAUGACUCAUUCAGAACUUUUUAUACAACCUCAUCUGUCAGAGAUAAUUGAAUCACACUAUGUCUGUACUCUAGGAGAUCCUCAUUAUCCUCCUCUGACAAUAUCAUCGGCAAAGCAUCUCUUUUCUUUAGUGCCUAAUUCAGCAAUCCCUACUGAACCAAUCGGACUUAUAUCUUUUCAUGUCAAAGAUUAAAAUCAUUCUUUUCAUUAAAUUUUUUAAUCUCGAAUUUCACAACCAUCAUAAAGAAAUUAUGUAGACCAAAAAAUAUAAUCAAUAGAUAAUCAAAACCCAAAAUAAAUCUGACAAAUAAAUCUGAACAAAUCUAAAUGUCAAGCUUUGGUACCACUUUGUUAUGAGAUUAUCUAUUAAUUAGUAUAAAAUUAGAAAUAAUAACAAACAAUCGCAUGCAUGCAGAAAUAAUAGGACACAGUGACUUUUGCAGUUCAGCCUUUGGCCUACAUUCACGGAUAAAAAUAAAGAGAGAUUUCACUAAAUCAAAAAAGAUGAAGUACAAAGAGUAUAAGACCACUCAAAUAAUAAAAGAUAGCUCUUCUUUUUUAAGAAAAGGUAUGAUUACAAUAUAUAUAGCCAACAAAUCUUAAAACAAAGAGAAAAGAUCAAAAUAUCCAAAUAAACCAACUAAAGUCUAAAAUGGAUCAGAUUCAUACCGCAAGUGACACCAAAUUCAAACCAUACUCAACCGAUGGUACUCACUAAUGCAGUCUGUCCAUCUUAUAACUUAAAAAAAUAUAUACAUCUAAAGCAUGUUUAGUGAGGUCGUUUAUUCAUAUCCCUUUGCUCUCCAUCCAUCUAUGAGGCCUUCCUCCUCCUCGAAUCUCUUUUUCCUCUUACAAAAUAUGAAAUUCUUUUCUCUAUGGCUAUAAACUAUAUUCAUUAGUAUAGCAUAUGAUCAAAUGAUAUAUAUACAUGGUAAAUUAGUCAUUCAAUAGUCCAUAAGGGCUCGUAGACAAAUUAAUAUAUAGUUUAUAUAUAGAACAUCAUAUUUAUUAGUAUAUUAUACAUAUUCAGGUGAAUAUACACUCGAUAAGUUUCUGUAUAUACUUUUAAUAUCUUUGAUACUGAGUAGCGACCCAAUACCUCUAGGCAAAUUGAUUCAAAUCCAAACAAAUUGAUAGAUUGUUUCCUAAACUUCAUAGUACAUUACAUAAUAUAUGUCUAAUUGAUAUACACUUGAUCAGUUUCUUAUACAUAUUUUAAGCUUCUUUGAUGCGUAUCUAGCAACAACUCAACACAUACCUUUAGAUAAAUAGAUACAUAUCCAACCAAAUUGAUAUAUAAUUUUCUGAAUAUCAUACUUACCAAUAUAUAGUGUAUAUCUAAAUGAUGCACACGAUGGAUUUCUAAUAUAUACUUUAAGCUUCUUUAAUACAUAUCUUACAACGACCCCCUAGAUACCUCUAAGCAAAUUGAUAUGCAAUUUAUGGAAUAUAUUGUUACUAGUAUAUAAUCCAUGGCCAAGCGAUACACACUUGAGACCAACAUCUUUAAUUAUGAGAAAAAAGAUUCUAAAUAGGAAAAAGAAAUUUUAAAAGGAAGAGGAAGGCUUCACAGAUAGAUAGAGAGAACUUUUAAAGUCAUGAGACGUUCAUGUGAGAGGCCCCCCAUCCUCGAGCUUCCUCAAGGAUAACUUUGAUAUAUAGCAGUAUGUGAGUGAUGGAGAUGGCUGAGAGGGUGCUUGUUUUGUAAUCAAGAGUCUGGACUCAAGGUACAUAACAACUGAUGGAUCACCUAUACCCAGUGCAUCUUAGGAGCAACUCCAUUUUGAUAGAGGGUGACUCAGCCACAAUGAUUGGAUGGAUCCAAACACAAUGCCAAAGUUUUAAUGUGCAUCCUCUGCUAUAGAACAUCUAGGUAGAUGAUGGGGGAGGGGAUCUCCUUCGGAAGGCAUAUUUACUACAAAAUGAAUGGGACUACCAACUAGAUAGCUUUCUAUAUAUGUCCCUAAAUACUCUAUUGAUACUGCAUGUAUCGAUAUUGUGGCUGCUCCAAUGAACCUUAGAGAUUUUUUUUCUGAUUUUAUUGGAUAUCUUUAUAUUACGAUAAUAUGAAUCAUCCAUCUUAUCGAAAAGCAAAAUAAAAAAAAAAAAGAAAGAGUUAUAUAAUGGGUGGUUUUUAUUAGUAGAAGCCCAUAUUGUUUUUAGCGGUGCAAAUGGGUUGGAUCGGAUCAGAUCAUGAGUGGUCCAGAUCCGAUUCAGUUUCUUAAUCGGAUCUAAAUAUUGGACCCAAAUCCAGUCCAACAGAAGAUCGAAUCAGGUCGGAUCGAGUCCAUGAUCAAAUUUUUUGACCCAAUGGGUCAUUCGGAUUGGGUCGGAUCCAUAUAUAAUCCAGUCUCGAUUUAUGAAAUAUUGAUUCAGUUCGGAUCCGGAUCUGAGCCAUUCGAAUCUCAUUUAUAAAUAACAAGAUCAAUAAGUAGAAGAUCUAUAAAUAAAUUUUAUUUGCAUUACAAAUUUUUAUCUUGAUAUAUAAGAUAAUUAGAGCCCUCAUGUCCCAUACUCUUCAUCCAAGAAUCCAAAAGCUCUGAUCAUAUUUUUCUCACCAUUGCCUCUGACUUAAUUAAUCCAAAUUCAAAAUAUUUUAACAAAUUUUUAAAAGAUAAAGAUCUAAAAAUUAAUAAAAUAUUUUUUUAAGAACAAUAGAUAUUAAAGCAGAUUUGAUCAAAAUUAAUAUUCAUGUAAUAUAGAAACAAAGAGAAAUAAGGAAUGAGUUCGGAUCAGAUUGGAUCGGAUUGGAUCGAAUCGAAUUAGAUCGAGUCAAAAUUCAGUAAAUCUAGAUCUGAUUUAAAAAAUAGAAUGAGUCUAAUUUUAAAAUUUAAUUUGAAUCCAUGAAUUUUUUAAAAUAAUUUGGAUUGGAUCUAUUUAGAUCGGAUCGAAUCGGAUGAUGAAUCAACCUAAUUCAUUUACAGUUUUAAUUAUUUUUAAUUUUUAUUAUAAAAUAAAUAUAAUAAGAUACGCGGUAAAAAAGGUACAUCGCUCCAUAUCAUAUUUUCAGGUGCGGGAACCAAUGUCUUUUUGCUGCACGAAUCCCCACCUGCUCCCAGAACACCCAAGAAUACUCCUCCAUUUACUUCUUUUACCGUCUCCACGCUGACCUAGGAUCGUCCUUGCAUUGCCGCUCCUCGUCUUUCUAUCAAUUCUUUUUAACCAUCAGUUUUCCAUUUGCCCUUCAUUUUUCCUCUGUUUUGGCGGUAUGUCUUCUUUUCUUUAUUGCUAAUAAACUCAAGUGCAGUUAUUGCCACUGCUCCAUACCAAGUUGUCCUGGGUCACGCGCGCGCUCUAUGGUACAUAACAAUAACUCAACUCAUUAAAACGCUGACUGAAUGGUCCCAUUUUACGCAAUGCUCGGGUGGAUGAAUUAAUCAAAGACACAUUUUAAUGACUCACCAAUGUUAUGUGAUUACCCUAAUGGGAUAUUUGAUAGCACAUAAUUUUGAUAAAAUUAUAUAUAAUUUUAUAAUAAAUAAUUAAAUUAAAUUAUUUAUUUUAUUAUUUUUAUAAAUAAUAUUAUAUUAUAUAUAAUAUAAUAUUAUUUUAAAAAAUAAUCUGAUUGUCUAAAAAAAGAUGAUUAUGUGAUUACAUAUAAUCUCAUAAUUCUGCAAUCUUGCAAUAAGAUAAUUUCAGGAUCAAAAUAUCUUCAUCAAAAUAAAUUAAAAUAAAUUAUGAGUAGUUCUAUUUGAUAAAAAUAAAAAAAUAUAUAAUAGAUGAAAUCAUAAAAAAUGAUUAAUCUCAAAAUUAAAUUAUCUCUCUAGAAAAUAAAAAAUAAUCAAUAAGCAAGGAUGGAGAUACUUUAAAAAAUUUAUUUUAUAUACCAUAUAAUCUAAAUUGUAUACCAAACACUUUAAUAUAGGAUUCUCUAUAAUUUUACAAUAAUAUUACUAUACAUACCAAACACUGCAAUAUAAGAUUUUUUGUAAUUUUAUCAGGUAAUCACAUUUCCUCUACAAUCACAUUACCAUAGCAACAUUAUCUAUGUAAUGCACCAAACGCCACCUGAGAAUUACUUUAGUAUGCACCCACGGAACACACUUGGAUCACAAUACUAUAGGUUGCAGCUGAUAUUUGUACUGCUGCUCAUACGUAUUUCAUUAUAUACAUAAAUAUAUAAUAAUUUAUAUAUAUAUAUAUAUAUAUAUAUAUAUUUAUUUAUUUAUUUAUAUGUACCUCAAACACACAAAAUACACACAUAUACAUGCAUACAUAUAUAUAUAGAUCACCGAAAAAUAUAAAUUUUAAUUUUUAGAUAUUGCGGUCAACUCCCUGUUACCUGUCACCAGUGAUGAGCACCUGCAAAACAACACCCUCACAGACCGAAGUUGUGUCCGAUGGAGAUUCUCUGAUAUUUAAGUUAGAGAGAAAAUUGAUGAACAGUAGAUUUCUGAAUGUCGAGAGUAACAGAGCUCUGGCUCAAAGGUGUCUUACCAGUGCUGUUCACUUAUCCUCCUUUUAUAGAUGAUUUUGAUAUAAUCGUCGAGCACGUGGUCUCACUUUUUAUGGCGCUAAAUUAUUGGACCAUAAUUAUGAAGUUAGUGAGUUAUUAAUUUUCACUAAUUACCAUGACACAUAGUCGAUAACCGUUCAUAGCGGUUUUAGUAUGUUGAGUAGAUUGAUCGACUAUAUGUCAGUAGUAUUGAUAUAUCAGUAGAAGGUCCGAGCAAACCAUCAGCUAGUAGUUCUAAUGUGCUGACAGUCUUGGGUCGGAGGUUAUUCAAGUUGUCUGCUGUUGAUCGGUAGUAGCCGAAUGUCGGUCGGUCAGCCGACAAUGAGUCGGUGUGAUUUGUCUAGUCAGUCAAAGAUUAGUCGAAUUAUAUGUUCGGUCGGUCAGUCUUUGUUGAAGCGAAGUCGGGGUUGGUUGACUUGAGUUGGGGGUUGAUUGACUUACCUCAACAGUUGCACCUCACUCUCAAGUCCAAGGUGACCCGCUGUUUGUCACUAUGUAGUUUUGUCACGUUGGACAAAGAGAGUCAUUUUGUGUCAUAUCGAACCCUGAUUUGGCUGCUAGUUUUUUCGAGAUAUGAGUGUCGGCUGUUUUGUCAUUUUCAUGAGUACAGAACCAUCAUUAGACUGUCAUAUUGACAGGAUGAUUCGGUAUCGGAUGUCAAUGUCAGACGUCAUUUUGAAAAGAUGAUUCGGCACCAGACGAUAUGAUUCUGAUAAGUAGAUCCUUACCAUGUGUUCGAAUGUUAUUGGGUCAGAACUGUUCACGCGGAUAGUAAUGACGUGGCUUGAUCUGGAGUAGCUGCAUCGAACUGUCCGAUCAAUGGUUGACUCAGAUGUCACCACGUGUCAACAUCUGGUGAGAUCUUGAUUGGAUGCUUCGAUCCUAGCCAUUGAGGGAUCCUAUAUAUAUAGGGUCGCUUUCAGUCAACUUUUUAUUUUUCAUUUAUUUUCUUUGCUACAGAAGCUCUGCCAGAGGAUCGUCCCAACAUCUGAAGACUUCUUUUCCUUUUCUCCUUCUUCUUUGAGUUUCAGGUUAAGUCCUUAUCUUUUUGAGUCGUCUGUCUUAUUUAGUUUUCUUCUCUUUGAUGGCUAGGGGUUCCUCCUUUCGGGAUGAUCGGUCGGAGAAUCCGAUUGACGACUCUCCAUCGGACCCGAAAGUGGAGGCUUCUUCACUUUCAGAAUCGAACGUCGAUCUGCUCCAGGAGCAAUAUCGCAUCUCGGAGCAAUUUCAGCUCUUCGCUCCUAGUGCCGAUGGUCGGGUGAACGCCCCUCCUUCGGAUCAGGUGGCUAUUUAUAUCAAAAAUCUUCGGAUGAAUCUUUGAUUUUUUAUUUCGGAGUUCGUCCGAAAUAUUUUGAACUACUAUGAUCUUUGUUCUGCCCAGCUGACACCAAAUUCGAUCCGACUAAUAAUCAGUUUUGCUCUGUUGUAUCAGUUACUGCUGACCGAAUCUCGACCUUUUCUUUUCAUACUUUCUUUAUCCUCCGAUCUCAUCCAAAGGCCAAGGGUUGGUGAUUUUUCAACCUUCAAAAAGGUCUUUCUUUCAUUACUGAUCUUCCAUCGUCCAUUCAUGGAUGGAAGAAUCAAUUUUUUUUUGCUUCUUCCUCUCUUCCUUGGGGCUUUUCUUAUCGUCGGGGCGAUCCAAGAACCAAUCCCAACGAUAACAGCCGGAAGGAGGUCAGCGAUUGAGAGGACUUUCAUCAGCUGAAGGAUAUGACGGUCCCACCAUAAAGUAAGCUUAUGACUGAACAAGCUCUCUAUGAUGCCAGCCUCAGUUCGGUCACUAACUUAGGUAUAUUAUAGUCAGUUACUUCCCACUUUAUUUUUCUUUUGUUUGUUUUUGGAUUGUACUGACUUUCAUUCUGAUUGCAUCCAAGGGUGCAAGUAUCAAGCAUCGAUAUUCGUCAACAUACUGCGAGGAAGAGGACAACAUCCGAAGCUGGUCCUUCCCGACCAUCCAAUUAGAAGAGUCGAGAUGCUGCUUCAACGCAAGCUCCAGCUGCUACUUCAACACUGGCUGAGGAACCCGAUGUGCCAUCUGCAUUGGUUCCUGAGCCGAUCCUGGCGCUGUCAGCUCCGACAGUGCUUCCCAUUGCACCGUCUGGAGAAGAAACUACCGCAGUAACAUUGGUAGCUCCACCAAUCGAGGAAGUUCGGGCUGAGGUGGAGGCUGCAGUUGAACCUGAGCAAUCUGCAGCUGCAUCGAUUGAUCCUUCAACAGGAGUUUCUUUGGUGUAGUCAGUUCAAGCUUCCCCUCACUUUCGAAUGUGGGACCGCCGACAGAAGACCGAGGAAAGGCUCUAAUGACUUCAACGGAUGAUGCAACGUCGGAGGGCCACACAGUCCACUUCGACCUUAGAGUGCUUGGGGAUGAGUAGGCUCUAGCCAAUCCGAUAUUGGCUAAGCGACUCAUUCAAGCCGCUCUUCUCCCGACCAACCGGGAGAGUUGAAGAAACUGGAUGGUGGCUGAGAUGUUCUCGUCCUUCUACCCAAUGAUACUCAGGGUAAGCUAUUUUCAUUUUUUUUAAAUCUGAUUCGACUCAUCUUCUGUCUGCAGUUGGUCCACCAUAUGUUUGACCUGAAAGACGACUAUAUAAAGUUCGACGACUUCCAUCGAAUAUAGACGAAUAAGGUGGCGGCCGUCGAUGCUGAGAAGAUGGCUGUCCUUGAGCAACUUAAGUCGGCAGCUGAAUGGGAGGUCAAGCUUCAACAGGAAGUCUCUCGAUUGACUGACGACUUGAAAUCUUCUGGAGCCGAGCUUGAGUCGGCUUGCUAAAAUAUUUCAGCUCUUGAGUUGCGGGUCAAGAGCAAGAAACACUCCAUCCACCAGCUUCGAUGGGAACGAGACAGAUGUACUGUUGAACUCGAAGCCAAACGUAGACGACAUUGGGCCAGCUUGAAAAGGUUGGCAUUGGCCAAAAAGAAGUCAUCUUCCGCAUGAGCCGAUGCUGAGUUGGCGAAGGUGGAAAUGAAGUCGGUGAGGGAGGCAUUGAGUUGGGCAAUCGAGGAUUUCAAAAAUUCAAAAAAAUUCAAGAAAGAGAUCCUCGAAGGCGGGUUCAUCUCCUACUGCAUUGGAUCUGAAGACGGUCGAGAUGCGAUCAAAAAAUUAUAUCCGAACCUCGACUUGAGUAGCAUCAUCCCUCCAAAGUCAGAAGACGGGGCUGAUGAAGAAAAUGCAAUGCCGACCGAAGGAAGAAUGCCAACAACACUAGAGGUUGUCCAAGUCUCUGAAGCUACUCUAGAGCAAAAAGAUAAAGGGGGUGACUGAUGAUCGAUGUAUUUUUAUUUUUCUUUCUUUUGUAAUCAAACACUCGUAAUCAGACUUCGAUCUAAUUUUAUAAUCUCUUCUUUGUAAUGAAUGAAAAAAAAAAUUUAAGUCAAGACUUCAUUUUGCUUGUUUGAUUUUACUUAUCUACAAUGCAUAGUUAUUUAGCUACCGAACAUCAAUCGGAGAACCGAACGUUCGGUAGGUCUUGUAGAAUCAUCCGUUAGUUACAUAAUUUUUUUGACAUACUUUAAGAAUUAGGAUAAACGAUAAUAAGUUGAAUAUCCUGGGUCCGACGUUGAGUCAGGUUUGUACGUCAAGUUGUUUGAUAAUCGGUGGCAAGCUGAAUAUCCUUCGACUGACUGUAGUCAAGUCGGUAUAAUUUCAAUCCGAUCUUGAUCAUAUUGGCAUAAUGUUUCACUUAGUUAGAACUAAAUCGGUAUGAUAGUCUUUCAACUAUGAUUGACUUUUACAAUGAAAAAUCGAAGUAUAUUUAAUAUCGAGACAUAAUCGGUAUUAUUGCUUUUACAGUGAAAGCCAGCAUGAUUAAUGUCGGUUUUUACAGUAGAAAAUUGAGGUAAAUUUCAUGUUGAAGUAUAGUCAGUAGUUCAGCUUUUACAGUGAAAGCUGGUAUACGAUCGAUGGUUGAUAGAAAUCGACUAUUCACUUAUCGGUUCAAAAUCAUUCUGUAAUUGAUCGAGACUUAUGAUUUUGAAAUUUCAUAUUUCAUUCUGAACAAUGUAUACAUGGGCAAUUUUAUUGAUGAUACAUCUUUAAAUUAUCGACAUUCCAUGUUCAGAGAAUGGCCGACCCUUCAAGUGUUUCUAGCCGAUAUGCGUCCGGUCUGAAUGUUUCGGCUAUUCUAUAAGGUCCUUUUCAAUUCGAAGAUAGUUUUUCUUGAUUUAAAGAUUUUGAGAUUUUUGCUUUCCUUAGGAUCAAAUUUUUUGAUCGGAAGAUCUUCGGCUUGACUCUUGUAUUAUAGUACCGGACUAUCCUUUGCCGAUAUGCAGCCAUCCGAACUUAAACUUGUUGUUGGACUUCUGAAAGUAGAUCUAAGUUGGCCCUCCAACAUUCGGAGUUGCUUGGCUCAUGUAUUGCUCGACCCUCGUUGAUGGCAAUCUGAUCUCUAGUGGGAUCAUUGCUUCUGUUUUGUAAGUCAAAUUAAAUGGCGAUUCUUCCAUCGAUAUGCGAGGAGUUGUUCGGUAUGUCCAUAAGAUCGGAUAUAGUUCUUCCAUUCAGAAGUCUUUAGCUUCAUUCAGUCGGGUUUUGAGUCCAUGCAGAAUCAUUCGAUUGGUUACCUCUACCUCUCUAUUUGAUUGUGGAUGGCUGACUGAUGUGAGUGUGCGUAAUAUGAAAUUUCACACAUAACUCUUUAAAGUUUUGAUUAUCGAGUUGUCGAUCAUUGUCAGUGAUGAUGGUGUGUAGCAAACCGAAUCUGCAUAUGACUGAUUUCUAAAUGAAGUCUUCCAUCUUACUUUCAGUAAUUUUUGUUAGAGGUUCAGCUUCAAUCCAUUUGGUGAAAUAAUCGAUAGCAAUCACUAUGAAUUUUUUCUGACUAGAUACUGGAGGGAAAGGAUCAAGUAUGUCAAUUUCUCACUGUACGAAGGGCCAUGAUGCAAUAAUCGAUUUUAGCUAGCUAGCCGACUGGUAUUGUAUGUUUGCAUACUUCUAGCAUGGUUCACAUCUUCGAACAAGCUCAGCUGUAUUUUUUUUCAUGGUGGGCCAAUAGUAUCUUUAUCGUAGGACUUUAUAGGCUAGUGAUUUGCCCCCAAGUGAUUUCACAAAUCUCUUUGUGAACUUCUCAGAGUGCAUAGUCGGUAUCUGUUGGUUCUAAAUACUUUAGUAAGAGAAGAGAGAAUGAUCUUUUGUAGAGAUGACAAUUCAUCAUAAUAUAUUGGGAGGCCAUUCAUCGGAGUCGUUUGGCUUCUGAAAAAUCUAUAGAGAGAGUCCCAUCAAUCAGGUACUAGACGAUCAGAUCCAUUCAACUCAGUUCAAUAGUGAGUUGUAACAUUUCAUCAACUUUAUCGAUCCUUGGUUGUUCGAGACAUUCAACGAAUGUUUGACCCAGCAAGUUGAAGGAAGUAGUUGCAAGUCGGGAGAGUGUGUCGGCCCGAGCAUUUUCGAUUCUUGGGAUGUGAAAGAUCUCAAAAUACUUCAUGGUUGAUAUAAGAUCCUUCACUUUCUGAAGAUACUUCAUCAUGAUAGGAUCUCAGGCCUCAAAUUCAUCCUUGACCUGUCCAGCAAUUAAUUACGAGUCAGUGAGGACCUUCAGACUGUUGAUGUCAAGUUCCUUGGUGAUUUUCAAACCAGCUAAGAGCGCUUCAUAUUCGGUUUGAUUAUUCAAUGCUUUGAAGUUGAACUGAAGGGCUUAUUCGAUAAUCAUCUCUUCGAAAUUUGUAAGAAUGAGAUCAACUUCACUCCCUUGUGCAUUAAAUGCUUCAUCGAUAUGCAGCACCCAAACCGACGUUAGGUCGGGUUUGGGAGUCAUGGUCUGCUUUAUUGUUUUAUCUUCUAAUUUAUUAUCUGGUACUAUACAUUCGACGAUAAAGUCGGUCAGAACUUGCACCUUCAUUGACGAUCAUGGACAGUAUUGUAUGUCGAAUUCGCUAAGCUUUACUGUCCACUUUGCCAUUCAGCCCGAUGUAUCAAGUCAAUGUAAGAUUGCCUUCAAUGGCUGAUCUAUCAAGACCACAAUUGGAUGUGCUUGAAAGUAUGGACGAAGCCGUUGUGAUGAUAUAAUCAGAGCGUAGAUCAUUUUUUUCAUCCUUGAAUACCUCACUUCGACAUUAUGAAGUACCUUGCUAGUGUAGUAGAUCGAUCUUUGGAUUCAUUUUUCAUCUUCUUGGACGAGCACCGAACUGACCGCUUCAAAUGAAGUCGCUAAAUAGAGAUCCAGUAUUUCUCCGACCUUUGGUUUUGUGAGUAGAGGUGGAGAGGUUAGGUACUUUUUCAAGUCUUUGAAGGACUGUCGAUAUUCAUCCGACCAUGAGAAGUCCUUCAUCUACCGUAAAAUCUUGAAGAAUGGCAAGCAUCUUUCAUCCGACCUAGAAAUGAAACAGCUAAGUGCGGCGAUUCUUCUAUUGAGUUGCUAUAUCUCUUUCUUAGAGCUCCGAUGCUUCAUAUCGAUGAUGGCCUUUAUCUUUUCGAGAUUAGCCUCGAUUCCUCAUUGCGACACAAGAAAUUCAAAAAAAAUUUUAGAGGUCACUCCAAAUGCAUACUUAGUCGGAUUCAACUUCAUCUGAUAUCGUCGAAGUAUGCUGAAGGCUUCUUCCAGAUCUCAAAUAUACUCUGAAGUUUGAAGACUUUUCACCAGUAUGUCAUCCAUAUAUACUUUCAUAUUUCACCCGACCUGUGUCUUGAAGAUCUUAUUGACAAGCCAUUGGUAAGUGGCUCCGAUAUUUUUCAGAUCGAAAGGUAUCAUUUUAUAACAGUAUAUGCCUUUAUCGAUUAUAAAGACUGUGUACUCCUCGUCUUCAGGCACCAUCUGAAUUUGAUUAUAUCCAGCAAAGGUGUCCAUGAAGCUUAAAAGUCGAUGGUCUGAAAUCGCAUCAACCAAUUGGUCAAUAUUUGGUAAUGAAAAGCUGUCCUUUGGACAAGCUUCAUUCAAAUCUGUAUAGUCGAUGCAGAUUCUUCAUUUUCUAUUGGCUUUCUCACCAUCACUACGUUGGCAAGCUAAUCGGGAUAAGUAGCUUCUUUGAUAAAGCCUGCUGCGAAGAGCUUAUCGACCUCUUCGUCAAUGACCUUCUAUCUUUCGGAGAUAAAAGAUCGUUUCUUCUAUCUCACCGACUUGACAUUCGGAUUAAUGUUGAGUUAGUGAGUUUUACAUCCGGAGGGAUGCCCGAUAUGUCGGUGGCCGAUCAAACAAAAAUAUUGGUAUUUACUCUUAGUAAAUUUAUUAGUUGCUGUCGCUUUAGAUCAGACAGCUGCGAUCCAAUUUGGACCGUCUUCUUGAGAUCUUCUUCUUUUAAUAGGAUGGAAAUCAAUUGUUCAACUGGUUCACCCCUCUCCUGAUUCUCUCUUUGGUUCAAUUUGUCGACGGACAGAGAGUCUUCAGGUUUAUUAUUUUAUAUGGAGACUAAGAAGCAGCAUCGAGCUAACUAUUGGUCUCCACGUAUUUUUUCAACUCCACUCCUUGUCAAGAAUCGAACUAGUAGAUGAUAUGUCGAGAUCAAUGCUCUUAAUAUGUUAAGGCUAGGUCAUCCAAGUAUAGUAUUAUAGGUCGAAGAAAUCCGAACAACCAUGAAUAUCACAAGAACAGUGCUUUACAGUGGUUCAGUUGCCGCGAUUAAGGGGAGAGAAAUUUUUCUUCCACAAUAACAGCUUCCCCAGUGAAAUCGAUUAAUGGUGUCGAGGCUCUUCUGAGUCGAUCAAUCAGUAGUCGUAUUUGAAAAAAAAUCGAAUAAAAAAGAACAUUCGAACUUUCAUUAUCUAUAAGGAUUCUUUUUACAUCAUAAUUUAUUAUUGUUGCCAAAACAAUAAUAGCAUCAUCAUGGAAAAUUUGAAUUCCUCAAACAUCUUCUUCCGAAAAAAUUAUUACAUCAUUGAGUCGUCGCCUCUUCAUCGACUCUUCUUUGAAAGUUGCCCUCCAAUUUGAUCGCUCGGAGAUCAUAUUGAUCACUCCUGCAUUCGGUUGAUUAUUGAUGGCCUCAGUUUGUGGCUAAGAUCAUUGGUCAACAGGAGGUUAAGUUGGCCGAUCCUUUUAGUACUUCUCGAGGUAGUCUCGUCAGAUCAGGACCUCUAUCUCGUUUCUGAGCUGGAUGUAUUGUUCAGUAUCGUGACCAUGAUCAUGAUGGAACUUAUAGUGCUUCCUCCGAUCACGGUUCCUCGAGGGCACCUUCAUCAAUGGGGGGUGCCAUAGGUACUUUGCUCCCUUGAUAUCCAUGAGAAUCUGCGCACAAAGAGUAGAAAUAUAGGAGUCAUACCUGCCGUAGCUUGGCUUCAGACUCCAUCAUUGGGGUGAAGCUCGCUUAUUGGAAGGUGGCCGACUUGAUUCGGUCGGAGCUCCACUCUUCUUCUAUUUCUUCUUCUGACCUUUAUCUUCUGUCUGACGUCUGUCAGAAGUAGCCUUAUCCAUGCAGAUGUACUUGUAUGCGCAUUCGAGAAGUUCAGUAUAGGUUCGAGGGAGAGUUUUGUCCAAAGCAUAGGAGAAUCUGGAUCCCCUCAGAUCCCUUUUCAUGGCCGAUAUAGCCAUAUCCUUAUUAAGGUCUUUGACCUCAAGUGUAGCCGUAUUGAAACAGGCCACAAAGUCUCUUAAUGUCUCAGUCUCUCCUUGUUUGAUUGAGAAGAGACUGUCGGAUGUUCGUGAUGACCUUCGGUUAGUACUGAAAUGGGCCACGAAAGAAUAUUUGAGCUGCUCGAAAGAAUCGAUGCUUUCCGACUGAAGCUCGAAAUACCAAGCCCGAGUAGCUUUUCGAAGAGUUACCGAAAAAUCGAUGCAUAAGAGGACGUCGGUUGCCCCCUAGAUCAUCAUGAGAGCUUUAUAGCUCUCUAAGUGAUCGAUUGAGUCGGUGAAACUGUCAUAUACCUCCACCUAUGGCAUCUUGAACUGAGAUGGGAUCGACUCGUCCAAGAUGUGCCGAGAGAAAGGCUGGGCAGUGUGAAAGUCAUAAUCACCAGAGGACUUCCGACCUUCCACUUGAAGUCGGACAAGUCGGCGGUCAAUCUUCUGAAACUUGCGUUCAUAGUUGUCUAACUGUCGUUGUCGGGAGAUCUCGAGAGUGGAACCUCCCGACGAGCUUGAAGGAGAAGCAGAAGGCAUCUGCGGUCGUUUCUCCUUCCUAACACUGUGGAGAUGGGAAGGAGAGGGGGAACAUCGCGAGUGGUGGGUGGCACGAUGAGAAUGCCGAGAAUGUGGUCGUCUGUCUCGAUGGAGUGUCGAGAUGGUCAUUCUAAGGAGGAAGAAGGUGAUCAUCGUGGAGGAUGACGGCUAUGUCUGGAAGGCACCGACUGUGCCAUCGGUUGUGCCGUCAGCGGCUGUUGCUGCUAUUGGAGGCUUUUGACUGUCUCUGUCAAAAUAUUCAUUUACUACACAAGUAUAACGAUCUGGACAUCCGUGGUGACCACGAAAUACGAGGAACUAAUCUCUGCUAUCGGAGAUGGGGGAGGAAGAUCUUUCCGACUGGAAGAGUGCCUCGUCGAAUCAAUUGAAAGUUGGGCUCUGAUUUUUGGCAUGAUCGACUGCAGAUUUGCAAUGCCUCCUAUCUGGCGUGCCAAUCUGUUGCGGCCAACUCCCUAUCAUCUGUCGUCGGUGAUGAGCAUCUGCAAAACAACGUCUUCAUAGACCAGAGUUGUGUCCACCAGGGAUCCUUCGAUGCUUAAGUUAGAGAGAAAAUUGGUGAAUAGUAAAUUUUUGAAUGUCGAAAGUAGUAGAGCUCUGGCUCAAAGGUGUCUUACCGGUGCUGUUCACUUACCCUUAUUUUAUAGAUGAUUCUGAUGUAACCGUCGAGCACGUGGUCCCAUUUUUUAUGGCGCUAAAUUAUCGAGCCAUAAUUGUGGAGUUAGUUGAUUGUUAAUUUUCACUAAUUGCUGUGACAUGUAGUCGAUAACCGUUCAUAGUGGUUUUAGUAUGUUGAGCAGAUUGGCCGACUAUAUAUCGGUAGUUUUGAUAUAUCGGUAGAAGGUCCAAGCGAACCAUUGGCUAGUAGUUCUGAUGUGCCGAUGGUUUUAAGUCAGAGGUUAUCCAAGUUAUCUGCUGUUGAUCGGUAGUAGCCGAAUAUCGAUCGGUUAGCCAACAAUGAAUCGGUGUGAUUUGUUCAGUCAGUCGAAGAAUAAUCGGAGUUGUAUGUUCGAUCGGUCACUCUUUCUUGAAGCGAAGUCGGAGUUGAAUGACUUGAGUCGGGGGCCGAUUGAUUUAUCCCAACAUUAGAUAUUUUUUGUAGUAUAGAUCAUAUCCAACUGUUUGGAUCUUAAAAUUUGAAUACUUUAUCAAUAAUUUUAAAUUAUCAACUCUUAUUUCAAGAGUUGGUAUAAAGUAUGUGGUCCAACACACAUCCAUGUACAUAUGUACAUAUUGUUCUAGAUGUAAGAUUUUAAUUAUUUCAACUCAUUCUGUAAAUAAUCCAUCCAAANNNNNNNNNNNNNNNNNNNNCAAGAAGUAGGUUUAUCUCCCAAGUACUCAAAGCUCGGGCCGGCGGGGUGGGGGGGGGGGGGCGGUGGUUGGGAGGGAGGAGAGGAGGGUUCAUGUCGUGUGCCUAGAUGUUGGGUCCCAUUGGUGGUAGUUUUUGAAUGGACUAAUCAUAUUUAUUUCUUUAUGUUUAUUUAUCAGAUUUGUUCAAAAUUUAUAAUUACUAUUUGGCAGAUUCUCCAUUUUCCUUAAAUUUUGAAUCCUGCUACUUAAUUGGAGCAUUGAGUGCUCAAGUAAUGGUCACAAGCUUGCUUGGAUUUGUUAUUACCAGCAUUUAUGUAUGCUAUUUUGUCGUGGGAAGUAGGAUAGUUGGCUACGAGCUCAAGAUCUGAGGUCUUUUGAAUUAAUCCCGAAAGAUAAUGCGCUCCCAUCUUGGAUUGCUACCAUCAUUUUUUAGAUCUCAAUAAAAAAAUAUUAAAUCAAGAUGAAAAUAUUUAGACGUAUGUGUGUGUGUGUGUGUGUAUAUAUAUAUAUAUAUAUAUAUAUAUAUAUAUAUAAUCUUACACACACAUAUAUAUAUAUAUAUACACACACAAAAAUAAUAUAAAGCACUGGAUGAUUAUCCAAUAUCAAUUCAAUAUUUUGAUCUAUAAUACAAUUAAGUCAUCUCCUCCAUCCUCAUUAUUAUUUCUAGAAGAAAGCAAUAUGCUCCUAGUUCUAUUUAUCGAAACAAAAUUGGAGGGCUAACACGAAGGUGAUGAAUGCUUGCCUGUUGAUGCGGUGGUGCGCAGCGACGUCAUACAAAAGUGGAAUGACUCCCCAUCCACCGUACUCCCAAUCCUCAAGAAGUUCAUGAAUGCGGGCCUCCGGGUCUGGGUCUACAGGUACAACGAAUUAGUUAACAUCAAUAUAUAAUUUCUCCAGAUGGAACGAAAGCGAAGCUCGAUUCCAAAACUCUUUAACUCACCAACUUGCAUGGUUUUCUGCACGAUCGAUGAUCACAGCGGGGACACGGACGGGAGAGUCCCGGUGACGUCGACGAGGUACAGCAUCAACGCGAUGGGACUCCACGAGAAGAAGGAGAAGGGAACGAAGUGGGGAGGGUGGCGG